rnacentral:rRNA from 1 species
GGGUCAGUAGGUUGGUCGUGCCACCGGUCCGUACUGGUCUCACUGAUUCCUCCUUCCUGAAGAACCGUAAUGCCAUUAAUUUGGUGUUGCGGGGAAACAGGACUGUUACUUUGAAAAAAUUAGAGUGUUUAAAGCAAGCUAACGCUUGAAUACAUUAGCAUGGAAUAAUGAAAUAGGACGAUCGAUCCUAUUUUGUUGGUUUCUAGGAUUGACGUA